UCUAAUAUGGCAGAUUAGUGCAAUGAAUUUAAGAUUCAUAUAUAAAAAUUUAUUUUUUAUUAGAA
rnacentral:tRNA from 1 species